rnacentral:rRNA from 1 species
UACGUAGGUGACAAGCGUUAUCCGGAUUUAUUGGGCGUAAAGCGCACGCAGGCGGCUGAUUAAGUCUGACGUGAAAUCUCUCGGCUUAACCGGGAGCGGUCGUUGGAAACUAAUCGGCUUGAGGCGAUGAGAGGGGUGUGGAAUUCCCGGUGUAGUGGUGGAAUGCGUAGAUAUUGGGAAGAACCCCGGUGGCGAAGGCGGCGACCUGGUCCUUGACUGACGCUGAGGCGCGAAAGCGUGGGGAGCAAACAGG